AGCAAAAAUGUCAGAUCGGAUGCACAGAAAAAUGGCCCAAAUUGUUUAAUGACUAGAAGAAAUAUAGGAGCAGCAAGAAUGUGUGGGGCUAGGCAUGGUCACUCCUGCUGGAUGUCUAGAAGGUGGAAAUUAAGGACCAAGAAAAUACCAGAUACAGCCUUUCCACCCUCAUCCAGAGCAGGACAAACAGGCCAGGUGGUGUCAGGAGCCCAGGUCUCCAGCUGGAGGGAACGUCAACCCUGCAGUGGGAGCAGGGGCCCAUCGCACAUCCUAGGCACAGAUGCUAAUGUAGGCACCGCAGGAAUUCUAGUGACUAUGUUGCCACCAUCUUGGAGCUCCAUGCCCUCAUAGUAUAGUGGCACCAGCAGAUCUGCCUGUGCAUGGACUUCCUGUACUACCUCACUCCUGAGGGGAGAUGCUUCUGCAGGGCCUAUGAACUGGUGCACAACUUUAGCCACCAUCGUCCUGGAGCAGCGCUACACCCUCACUAGCCAGGGUGUCGACAGCCUCAAGGCCAAGGCCACAUUCAAGACUUUGGACUUCACUGAUGCACUUGUGCCGAGCAAGCUGUUUUGCAGAUCCUGGUCAGAGUAAAACAUUCCAUGGGAACUCGGGCUGUGAGAAGCAUCCUAACCACCUGACUGCAGAAACAUCCUUAUCACAUCCUGCUGGGCAAAGGCCCAACAGCCUGACUUCAGGAACAUCCUUAUCAUCUUCUACUGGGCAGCAAGCUAUACUGUCCAGAGCGCUCCCUCCCAGCCCCAUGAUUACCCCAGCCUGU
rnacentral:lncRNA from 1 species